rnacentral:rRNA from 1 species
UACGAAGGGAGCUAGCGUUGUUCGGAAUUACUGGGCGUAAAGAGCGCGUAGGCGGUCUGUAAAGUUAGGAGUGAAAGCCCAAGGCUUAACCUUGGAACUGCUCUUAAAACUCACAGACUAGAGAUUGGUAGAGGAUGGUGGUAUUCCUAGUGUAGAGGUGAAAUUCGUAGAUAUUAGGAGGAACACCGGUGGCGAAGGCGGCCAUCUGGGCCAAUACUGACGCUGAGGCGCGAAAGCGUGGGGAGCAAACAGG